CUGCCUGGUUCAAGUAAUCCAGGAUAGGCUGGUUAACACAUGCACGGCCUGUUCUUGAUUACUUGUUUCAGGAAC
rnacentral:pre_miRNA from 8 species